rnacentral:rRNA from 1 species
UAGUCCACGCCCUAAACGAUGUUGGCUCGGUAUCUGGCUAUAAGCUGGGUGCCCAAGGGAAACCGAUAAGCCAACCACCUGGGGAGUACGUCGGCAACGAUGAAACUCAAAGGAAUUGACGGGGGCCCGCACAAGCGGUGGAGCAUGUGGUUUAAUUCGAUGAUACGCGAGGAACCUUACCAGGGCUUAAAUGUAGAUUGCAUUAGUUAGAGAUAGCUAUUUCUUCGGACUAUUUACAAGGUGCUGCAUGGUUGUCGUCAGCUCGUGCCGUGAGGUGUCAGGUUAAGUCCUAUAACGAGCGCAACCCCUGUUGUUAGUUGCCAGCGAGUCAUGUCGGGAACUCUAACAAGACUGCCGGUGCAAACCGCGAGGAAGGUGGGGAUGACGUCAAAUCAUCACGGCCCUUACGCCCUGGGCCACACACGUGCUACAAUGGCCGGUACAGAGAGCAGCCACUACGCAAGUAGGCGCGAAUCUUCAAAACCGGUCUCAGUUCGGAUCGGAGUCUGUAACUCG